rnacentral:tRNA from 1 species
GGAGAUUUAGCUCAGUGGUAGAGCGCUUGCCUAGUAAGCGCAAGGCCCUGGGUUCAGUCCCCAGCUCCG